UCGGCAACGGAUAUCUCGGCUCUCGCAUCGAUGAAGAACGUAGCGAAAUGCGAUACUUGGUGUGAAUUGCAGAAUCCCGUGAACCAUCGAGUCUUUGAACGCAAGUUGCGCCCCAAGCCUUUUGGCCGAGGGCACGUCUGCCUGG
rnacentral:rRNA from 1 species